rnacentral:lncRNA from 1 species
AGAUGCUGUCUUUUGCAGUCCUCCGAGAGAUGGUCUGAGAGUACCUGUGCUGAAAUGGAAUUGUCUUUGAGUGGACACUUCUUAGAUGAGACCUAUUGUGGCCAAUAGCUCCUGAGGAACUGAAGCCUUCAGUUCAAAACUUGUGUGAGAAAAAUGAAUCUUGCCAACUACUGGAGUGAGCUUAGAAAUGAAUCCAUCCCCAGUUGACCCUUGAAUGUAGCCUUGUCAGAGACCCAGAGACAAAGCAUCCUGCUAAUCUGCACUGGGUUCUAGGCCCACAGAAACCAUGGGAUAAUAACUUUGUGUUGCUAUAAGCCACUGAAAACAAACAAAUAAAAUACUUAAGAUGUUCCCCUGUGGAAGGGUUCCAUUGCCAGGGAUCUGCACUUCACAACCAAAGGGAUUAAAGAGAAUUGCCUUCUUCAGAUUUCAGACUGUGGCCUGCUUCUGGUUUUUCUUUCUAUAUUCAUAUAUAUGUUUGUUUAAAUCAUCCUACUUUUGGAGCAGGAAAAGUUACUAUUACAGUUUAUACAAAGGGAAGAAAUCUGGUACAUGCUAAAGUUAUUCAUCUGUAACUACCUGACGAGCCCAAUUAGUUGCUUGCUCCUAUGGAUUCUGAGCCUAAAAUCCCUUCAACAGAUCUUUGACCUUUUCUAAGUUAAGUUUUUGGAAGUAUCCUAUUUGUUCACUUACUUGGGCCAGAGACUAUAGAGAUUAAGAGAAAGUUUGAUAUUUGACCCUAAUUUUAGGCUAAAACAAUUUAGAUGGAAAGAACAGACACAAUUCAAUUUAACCAUCUUCAACUGCUGUGCUUUAGAAAGCUGGGAGUGUGGAGAAUGGAGUAGGUGUACAGAAAAAUAAGAACAGUUCUGUUCUUCAGGGCUUGAUAAAGGCUGCUGUGAGUUGGAUGGACAAUAAUUACUACUGACUAGGUCUAGCUGGGAUAGUUAGGGGAGACUUUCUGAAAGAGGCAACACAUGAGCUGGGUUCUAAAUCUCAAAUAGGAUUUGAUGGCUGAAGAUGAGGGUAAUAAAACAAGAGAAACAAGUACAUUCCAGAUAGAAAGAAUAGUAUAAGCCAAGAAAAACCUAUUCCAGGGCAGCAGGGAAGAGUCUGAAGUGGCAAAACAAAGUAGGAGGCAAAGCUGUCAAUAUAAGUAACUUGGUAGAGAAACAUUAGGAGUUUGGAUUUUAUCCCAUUGACUAGGAGGAUUUAAAAACAGAAAAUGCUCACAGGGGCCAGGCAAGUUAUGAGUAAAUAAAAGGUCCAGGUGUAAGUGCAACAGGGCCCAUGGACAUAGGAAUGGGGGAUGUGAAAAACCAACCUUUGCUAACAGUGAGUUCUACUAUGCAGUUUUAGCUGAUUAUAGCCAGACUCGAAAGCAACCUUUGUAGGGUUGACAGUUCUUGUGAUUGUUCAAGAAAAAAAUUUAUGUAAAAUCUACUGACUUGAAAAUACUAGAUUAAUUUAUUUAAUGUUAUAGAGCUCAAAUAAAACACAUUUGUCUUAUUUAUA